GACUUUGAUGUCGACAUCUUGGCUGUGAUCAACGACACAGUUGGAACCAUGAUGACCUGUGGUUAUGACGACCAUCACUGUGAAGUUGGCCUUAUAGUUGGGACGGGGACCAAUGCUUGCUACAUGGAGCAGAUGAGGAACCUUGACGUGCUGGAUGGUGACGAGGGGCGGAUGUGUGUAAAUACGGAGUGGGGAGCUUUUGGAGAUGAUGGUGCCCUGGAGGACCUCCGCACCAACAUAGACCGGGAGAUAGACGCAGGCUCUCUGAACCCUGGCAAGCAGCUGUUUGAGAAGAUGAUAAGUGGUAUGUACAUGGGGGAGCUGGUGCGUCUCAUCCUGGUGAAGUUGGCCAGAGAUCAGAUGGUGUUUCAGGGCAAGACAACGCCGGAACUCCUCACCACCGGACGCUUCAGCACCAGCUACAUCUACACCAUUGAGACUGACAAAGAUGAAGAAGGUCUGGCAAACGCUGAUAAGGUGCUGCGUGACCUGGGUCUGAACCCAUCGGCCGAGGACUGCAAAGCCACCAGGAGAGUGUGUCAGAUCGUAUCUACACGGGCUGCAAGACUGUGUGCUGCCGCUCUAGCUGCAGUGCUGAGGCAGAUCCGGGAUAACAAAGCAGCUGAACGGUUGCGCAUCACAAUUGGAGCGGAUGGUUCGGUGUACAAGACUCAUCCGGGAUUUUCUAGAAGACUCCAAAAAAUGGUGCGGCGACUCGUCCCAGAUUGCGAUGUACGCUUUUUGCAGUCUCCGUGUGGCAGUGGGAAAGGUGCCGCUAUGGUGACGGCCGUAGCUUACCGUCUUGCUGCGCAACAGGCUGAGCGACAGCGCAUCCUGGACACGCUGCGUUUAAGUCGUGAACAGUUACUCGAGGUCAAGAGGAGAAUGACAGAUGGGAUUGUACUUGGCUUGUCAAAGCAAACCCACGAGCAAACAAGUGUUAAGAUGCUUCCCACUUAUGUGCGAUCCACUCCUGAUGGAACAGAGAAUGGUGAUUUCUUGGCUUUGGACCUUGGGGGCUCCAGCUUUCGGGUUCUCCUGGUGCGAUUGCGAAGUGGAAAGAGGCACAAAGUGGAUAUGCACCAGAAAAUCUACACCAUCCCUCAGGAGACCAUGCAAGGCACAGGGGAGGAGCUUUUCGAUCACAUUGUCCAGUGCAUCGCUGACUUCCUGGAGUACAUGGGCAUGAGAGGAGCAUCGUUACCUCUGGGAUUUACAUUUUCUUUCCCCUGUAAUCAAAGCAAACUGGAUGAGGGCAUUCUACUGAAGUGGACCAAAGGUUUCAAAGCCAGCGACUGUGAAGGGAAAGAUGUUGUUAUGUUGCUUAAAGAGGCGAUUCAACGCAAACAGGAGUUUGACCUGAACUUCGUGGCGGUAGUGAAUGACACAGUGGGAACCAUGAUGACCUGCGGCUAUGAGGACCCCAAAUGUGAGGUUGGACUAAUAGUAGGAACAGGAACCAACGCCUGCUACAUGGAGGAGAUGCACAACGUUGAGCUGGUGGAGGGAAACGAGGGUCUCAUGUGUGUCAACGUUGAGUGGGGAGCAUUUGGUGACUUUGGAGAACUGGAUGACUUUUGCACCCAGUUUGAUCGUUCUGUCGACGACUGCUCUAAUUACCCUGGGAAACAAAGGUAUGAGAAGAUGAUCAGUGGCAUGUACCUUGGAGAGAUCGUCAGGAAUGUUCUCAUAGACUUCACUUCUAAGGGUUUGCUGUUCAGAGGCAAAAUGUCUGAACGACUGAAGAGCCGGGGCAUCUUUGAGACCAAGUUCCUGGCACAGAUUGAAAGAGACAGCAUGGACAUGAGGGUUACUUGGUGAGGGUCACACAGGACAGGUUAGUGCCGUCACACAGCCGAGCUGGAGGGGGACAGGUGUUGUCCUGCUUUAUAUUGCAAGCUUGUGUGUUAUGUGCAUUACAGCCAACGAUCCAAACAGCAACAAUAGCAGCAACCCCCCCAUCCCUCCGGCCCUCUUGCUUCUGGGUCUUUUUUGUGUGUGGCCCUCCCACCAUUAUAAUUGAGGACCCCUGGUGUUAAGGGUUGAGAAUGCGUGUAACAGUACAGAAGCAGCAGCAGGGAUAAUUGCUGGAUUCAUCACAAACUGGAACAAUGCUGUCAGAAUUACUCAGGAUAAUUGUGCUCUUCUUCUAAGACUUUAUGGAAAAAGUCAGGUUCAUUCUAAAUUAAGGAUGCUGUUAGAAAAAUAACCUAAAAAAACAAAAUUAUUUCUUUUACCUUUAAAAAAACCUCAAUGCCAUGUCCCAGUUGACUGAGAAAACAUUCCCAGUGCUGCGCUCAGAUAUGAUGGAGCUGUGGUUUAUUAGCCUAGAAAUCUAGACAGACAGGAGUUGAAGCUAAACGAUUUAGCUCUGCAGGUCAUUCUAGCCACGUUCCUUAGGAGCCUCAGCAGGUCUACCAUUGGCCCGCUAAACUCCAUGGGUUUUAUGGGCCAAUCAAAGAGCUCUAUCGGUUUUGUGGGUGGGAUGAUGCAAGUGGAACGACAAAGCUGAUGAUAUCUCAUUUGAAAUGACUUUGGCAGCAACUUUGGACUAUUCAGACUUGGGCUUUUUUUGAGUCAAGAGCAGUUAGAGGUACUUAAGUCAUUUAUUUAGAAAAAGCACGUAUUUGCAUCUUCUUUGACAGUGUAUAGUGGACUUCCUCAUUGACUGACCCCCGUAACGGUGAAAAUGUCACAUUGUCCAAUAAUAUGCAGACCAGAGGUGGAAAGAGUACUAAAAUUUCCUACUUAAGUACGAGUACCAGUACUUUGAUCAUUUUUUACUCAAGAACAAGUAAAAGUACUUGCCUAAAUUUUUACUCAAGUAAAAUUAAAAAGUAUCGUAAAUAAAAUGUGCUCAAAUUUAAAGUUACUUAGUUACAUUUUUGUCAGCGUAAAGAUGGUUACAUCAGUGCAACACCACAACACCGGUUCACAACACGCUCGUGUGUGCACGCACACACACACACAAACACACACACACAGUUUGAUGGAAGGAUUUCUAUCCAAUCAGUGAGAACAGGACGUGCACAUUGAUUGGACGAGGUUUUUCUAGGAUUGUACGUUUCGACUGUGAUUAAAAUUCUUCUUUAUUUAAAAAAAAAAGAUAAUUUUUAGAUGCCAUCAGUUUGUGAGGUAUCUCAACGUUCUCAUGACAAAACUCUAACAUGAGACUGUGCUCUAACCUGUCACAUAACAAGCUAAAUGAAAAACAUUUCAGAUGGACCGUAUGACAGCUGCUAAUGUUGGCCUUGCCCUACUUAACCUCUACAUUACAGUUCCUUUAUCCAUGUCCAUCCUAGAGCUCCUCUCUGACCUUCAUGCUUAUUUAGAGCAGCUGAUUUUUAAAGUUAGCAGAGUUCAUCCUUGGUAGUGGGUUCACUCACUCAUUUAAAGAUAUCAGCCAGAGGCAAAAUUUGUUUGAACAGCAUGUGUAAAUGUGUAUUAAAACCUCAGAUGAAAAAGGUUUUUGGAUUUUGACGUCUGGAAUCGUAAGAAAAUCUGAUGUUUGUGACCGGCGAGGGAAAAACAGAAACUAACUUCCAGUCUAAGCCCUGGGCAGCUGGUGACGCUUCACAAGGAGCUCUGCUGAAACAGCUGUAGUAAACAACGCCUGACUCCGGUGUUUCUGCAUUAGCGUUAUAGCAGAGAACAAUGUGUCAUCAAUCAGAUGUAGCUUCUGAAGCCUCUGCUAGUCGGUGAGAUUUGUUUUUUCUCUGGGAUACGGCGACGAGAAUGGAUAUUGGAUUACCAGAGAAGUUCAACCAAACUCAGACCCCGCCAGCUGGAUAUCACUACCAGAGGUGCAGACAUGUUUUAGACCAUUUAACUCCGAAGACUGCGGCCCGAUUUGGACAUAGAGGAGGAUUCUGUUCAUCUUCAGAACCAAAAUUGGUACAGUUUGUUUACUUUUCUUAAAUAUUUAAUUUCUGUGCUCCACCGGGAGCUCUAAGCUGACAAGUUUUCAGCUGGUCUUAGCUCCAUCAUGUGUCCCAAUAUAGUUCAGUAAUCUACAGUUUUACUGCUGUGUGUAUUUAUUGAUAUAACUGGAAAAUAUUUAACCGACAGUUUACCAGAAUAAAUCUUCCUGAUGCUGGAGUAACUCCUUAGCUCAACUCGUUGUUUGCACUAAUCCAGGAUGUCAUGGAGGUUCUAAUGUUGAAAUAUAGAGAUCAUCUUUUAGAUUAUAUCUGUGUGUCUGUGUGUCUGUGUGUCUGUGUGUCUGUGUGUGUGUGUGUGUGUGUGUGUGUGUGUGUGUGUGUGUGUGUGUGUGUGUGUGUGUGUGUGUGUGUGUGUGUGUGUGUGUGUGUGUGUGUGUGUGUGUGUCGUAGCUUUCCCAAAGGACUUGUUCUUUCCUUACCGGAGCUAACACGCAGUGGCAGCUGGUGAAAAAUAUUUUUGGUGGGGCUGUGCUUUUUUUUUUUAAACAAACUUGUGCUUUCUGAGCUUUGUGCACAACUUCACUAUUUCCUGAAUUAAGCACAGCUCUUUUAUUUCCUGUCUUACAUCAUUGGACAAACUGAUUAAUCCAGGUGUGUCUGACUAUUGGCACACUGCCUUGCGGACCAAGGUUGAAAAAUACUGCAUUAAAUUGCACAUAAAAUAACAUGACCAUAAAUGGUAAAUAGGCAAUGCAAGAGGCAAGUAAUAAAAACAUUUUGUUUAAUUUCAACAUUUGAGUGAACACGAAAAAUUAUGAGCAGGUCACUGUUACAGUAAUGGUAGUAAACACUACUUAGACAAAAUGCCAGAAAUUUACACUGUUAGGACUUAUGGAAAGUGGAAACACUUUCAUAGGAAAUAAUGUCAUCAGUAUCCUCUUACAGAUGUCAUAUUUCCCACUUCCCAAGCUGGGAAAUUUGUUUGCUGCAGCAGAAGUGUAACAAGUAAAAUGGAAUCAGCUUGAUGUAUGUACAAAUUUACUUGAAAUACACAUUUACAUGAUUAAAUACGUAU